rnacentral:rRNA from 1 species
ACCGNAGUACUAUGAAUACUAUAAAUUUUAAAACUCAAAGAACUUGGCGGUGUUUUAUGACCACUCAGGGGAACCUGUCUCGUAAUCGACAAUCCACGUUGUACCUGACCUUUCUUUGUUCUCAGUUUGUAUACCGUUGUCGUCAGGUAACUUUUUAGAAUGUAGAAGUUGGCUGGAGAAAUAAAUGAUUUAGUACGUCAAAUCAAGGUGCAGCUAAUAGAAAGGGGAGGAUGGGUUACAAUUAUUUAUUUAUAAUUACGGAUUAUUAUGUUAAAGCGUAAGGAUAAGAAGGAGGACUUGAAAGUAAAUUAAAUUUAUAAAAAUAAAUUUGAAUAAGGCUCUGAAACGUGU